rnacentral:rRNA from 1 species
UAAUACGUAGGGUGCGAGCGUUAAUCGGAAUUACUGGGCGUAAAGCGUGCGCAGGCUGUUCUGUAAGUCAGAUGUGAAAUCCCCGAGCUCAACUUGGGAACUGCGUUUGAAACUACAGGACUAGAAUAUGUCAGAGGGGGGUAGAAUUCCACGUGUAGCAGUGAAAUGCGUAGAGAUGUGGAGGAAUACCAAUGGCGAAGGCAGCCCCCUGGGAUAAUAUUGACGCUCAUGCACGAAAGCGUGGGGAGCAAACAGGAUUAGAUACCCUGGUAGUCCACGCCCUAAACGAUGUCUACUAGUUGUUGGUGGAGUAAAAUCCAUGAGUAACGCAGCUAACGCGUGAAGUAGACCGCCUGGGGAGUACGGUCGCAAGAUUA